rnacentral:tRNA from 1 species
GGAGCCGUAGUUCAGUUGGUUAGAACGCUGGCCUGUCACGCCAGAGGUCGCGAGUCCGAGUCUCGUCGGCUCCG